rnacentral:lncRNA from 1 species
UUUUUCUGGAAUGCAAAAACCAGUUAAAUAACUCAAAACCUUUCUUCCUAAGGAGAAAGACAUUGAGUCUUAAUAAUGCUAUUUAUAUUGGCCAGAUUUCUUUGUGAUGCUAAGAUAUGAAUCCAGUUUAAUUAGAAAUAAAUCCAACCCCCACUUGAAUUGAGUUUUUCAUUAAAUCAGGAGGUUCUGAACCAUUUGCUUCUAAUACUACUUGGGGCUGGAAUGAGAGGGAAACCUUGACCUUCUUCUGCUCCCAGCAAAAAUACAUCUGGUCCUGACACUGAACAGGCAAGGUGAGUACAGACAGCACAGCAGAAGGUGGAUGUGAAGAUGUGACUUCAGGUUAAAACGAUGACAAAUCAUUGAGAAAGGUUGAGCGGCCGUUUCAGACUUUGAGAUAUUGCUCUGUUCAUUCACUCACUCCCCGGGAAUUUCCCUUCAUGCGGCAUUCGUUUCAUGACUAAGAAUUAUUUUCUGACUCGUCUGUGUUGUAAUGGAGUAAAUGAAAACAAUCUUGACUGCGUGGGGCAGUAAUUGUUUGCACCAGUUGGUUGGUUUUUUUUUCUUCUCCCCAGAACACUGAGACGAUCAGAUUAUGAGUGGAAAGAAAUUAUGUUCCAAAGGUGUCCGAAGACUUCAUCUAAGGUCACUGGAAGGCUUUGCUGUAUGAGACGUUGUACAAACAUGGAUUAAAUAGGCAUAAAUAACAGUAGUUGUUAGAAACAGUGGGAAUUAUAUUCUUUAUGUUGUUGGGGAACUGAUGUGUGGGAGUAAAAUCACACAAGGAGUGAGGUCUCCUCCAACACUGUGAUUCUAAACAGAAACUAAACCUGGUCCUCCAAGCCCAUACAUAAUAAUUUCCAUAAAGGUGUAGGGCACAACAAAUAGAUCCAUAUAGAUCCAUAUUUGCCAGAGUGAGAGUAAAGGAUGCUGCAGUAAUUGAAGCACCUGUGUGGAUGCUGUAAGAACAGGAUGCAUGGAUAUAUAACAAGAGAAUCUGCAAAAUGGUAUGUAGUCUGAAUGGAAAACUCAGAGGAAAUCUGAAGCU